GACGAACGCUGGCGGCGUGCUUAACACAUGCAAGUCGAGCGGUAAGGCCCUUUCGGGGGUACACGAGCGGCGAACGGGUGAGUAACACGUGGGUGACCUGCCCUCAGCUCUGGGAUAAGCCUGGGAAACUGGGUCUAAUACUGGAUAUGACUCCACGGUGCAUGUCGUGGGGUGAAAGCCUUGUGCGGCUGAGGAUGGGCCCGCGGCCUAUCAGCUUGUUGGUGGGGUGANGGCCUACCAAGGCGACGACGGUAGCCGGCCUGAGAGGCGACCGGCCACACUGGGACUGAGACACGGCCCAGACUCCUACGGGAGGCAGGCAGUGGGGAAUCUUGCGCAAUGGGCGAAAGCCUGACGCAGCGACGCCGCGUGA
rnacentral:rRNA from 1 species